ensembl:lncRNA
GAAAUCAUCCGGCCAGGCAGACCCUGCGGGAGAAUCAAGCCUUGUAAUUAGAUUGAAGCCUCCUAGGAAACGGAGCCCUGUUGCAGGAAAAGCGUUUGCAGAAGCUAAUUAGGGAAUUCUUUGACCCUUUGUAAGAAAAACAAAUUCCAAAUAAGCAGUUCCAUGGCUAAUUUGAUCUUAUCAACUUCUGUGGUAUGAAGUUAUGCUUUAAAAGGGAGGCACUUUACACAUGUUAACUAAUUAAUCCUUGGGUGGACCCUAAGGAGAAUGCAUUAUCAUCUUCAUUUUAUUGAUGAGGAAUCUGAAACGUAUCAAGGUUCACAUGACUUCUGAAGGAAAAUACCACAUCUUGACUUUUUUGUCCAUGAAUGCUUGGAAUGCCUCUGAGGUUUCUUCAGUAUUUCAUAUCACAUGAUUGUAUCAGUGAGUAGAGAAUUUAAAAACAUGUAAUCACUAACAACAC